UGCGUAGGCGGGCCGAAUAGUCGGGUGUGAAAACUCACGGCUUAACCGUGGGCUUGCAUUCGAAACUGUCGGUCUUGAGUACGGGAGAGGGAAGUGGAAUUCCUGGUGUAGCGGUGAAAUGCGUAGAUAUCAGGAGGAACACCGGUGGCGAAGGCGGCUUCCUGGACCGAUACUGACGCUGAGGCACGAAGGCCGGGGGAGCAAACA
rnacentral:rRNA from 1 species